AUACUUGGGUACUCUCCAGGGAUUACCCAAUAUACACACUAUCUUAUGUGACACAAUAAUAUAAAAACACCUAGCCAAAUUUAAUCUUCAAAUACUUAACCAAUUCUUUAGCCAAAUACUCACUAUUGUGUUAGCCAAACACCCAUCUUCAUUCACAACACAGAGAUCUAAACCACCAGCACCAGCGACGGUCCUCUCCCACCGCCAGUGGCCACGGUCCUCGCCGCACAAUCACCUGCAACGGUCCCACUACCACCAACCACGGUCCUCUCCCACCAGGCCACCACCUCCAGCCACGGUCGUCUCCCACCACAGACCAGUGUCCUCGCCCACCACCAUCAGCCACCGUCCCUUGCCGGAACUCAUGGCACCUUCAUCGUUGUAAAAUCUGGAUCUCACGUGAGAGUAGAAAACCGUGAAAAGAAGAGCACCCAACCCCACGAGCCAUCGUCCUCUCCGUAUGAAAAUCAAGGAACCCAUAUUUUUGGAUUACCAGAUUGGGCUUCUGGAAAUGGAAUCUUCCACCAUAGUUAGAUUGCCAUGAUUUGAAAAUGAAAGUGUUUCUCUGAUUGUGUGCUUUGGCGAGGAAGAAGGUGAGUGUUUGGCUACAGGAAUAAAGGAUGUUUGGUUACGUGUUUGAGAGAUUUAAAUAAGGACAGAUGUCGUUUUUUUAUUGUACCACAUAAGUGAGUGUGUAUAUUGGGUACUCCCGGAGAGUACCAAGUAUUAUCCACAUUAUAAUCAACAAAAAAACAAAAAAAACAAAACAACAUUAAAGGGACCACUCGGUCCCCACUAACCCUAACUCCCAUAAAUCCCCAUUUCCCCAACUUCUUCCUGCGGUCCUGACCCCCUGACUCCCUUUCACCAGCAAGCUGUUGCAGCACAGGAGGUCCCUGUCCGGCUGUCCUCAGCUCAGCGCCAAGCCCAUUGGCUGCUGUGCAAGAGCACUCACUCACCACCAACCCUUCUUUUUGAGUUUUGAGGUAAUUUUUGCAAACAAAUUAUCGAAGUCAUGUCUUUUAGGAAACAAUUUUCUAGUAAUAUGAAAAGGAAAAAAAAGGCAAAGGAUAAUGAAAUUUCAAGGAGCUUCGUUAGGAAUGGUUGUAUAUGAUUGUAUUUUUUAUUGUCGGGGUUUAGGUACUAUGUUCCUCCCCGUUGUAUAUUUUCUCAAGUAAUAUAAUUUGGGCGUGAGGGCCUAGCCCCCCAGCUUCGACUGGGUUCCAGCUCUCGUUAAAU